UAAAGGAAUUGGCGGGGGAGCACCACAAGGGGUGGAGCCUGCGGUUCAAUUGGAGUCAACGCCCGAAACCUUACCCGGGGAGACAGCUGGAUGAAGGCCGGGCUGAAGACCCUGCCAGACAAGCUGAGAGGUGGUGCAUGGCCGUCGCCGGCUCGUACCGUGAGGCGUCCGGUUAAGUCCGGCAACGAGCGAGACCCGCGCCGCCAAUUGCUCCAGCCCUCUUCGGGGGGCUGAGGAAAUUGGCGGGACUGCCGCCGUAAGGCGGAGGAAGGAGCGGGCUACGGCAGAUCAGUAUGCCCUGAAUCCCCGGGGCCACACGCGGGCUACUAUGGAGCGGACAAUGGGGGGCGAACCCGAAAGGGGGAGCUAAUCCUCAAACCGCGCCUCACUUGGGAUCGAGGGAUGCAACCCGUCCUCGUGAACCUGGAAUCCCUAGUAAUCGCGCCUCAAAAUGGCGCGGUGAAUACGUGCCUGCUCCUUGCACACACCGCCA
rnacentral:rRNA from 1 species